UUCAGCUCAACCUUAAGUUUCUUCAUUACAUUUAAAAUACCCUUAAACUUAAGUACUACUCAAAUAAGGCACAGCUUAUUUGAAAAAGGGAUACAACCUAAAACAUUUGGGUAAACAAAAGAGACCCUAACAGAACCAAGUAGGCCUAAAAGCAGCCACCUUUAAAAAGCGUUACAGCUUACUCUUAUACACUUAUAAUUCCCACUCCCACCGCCCAACCCCUUAAAUAGAUACUGAAUUAUUUUUAUAUCAUUAUAAAAAGUAAUUAUGCUAGAACUAGUAACAAGAAAUUGAAUUUCUCCUAAAUGUAAACAUAAGCCCUCAUGGACUACACCACUGGCACUUAACGUCUAUGCAACCACUAUAACAACAUACCUCAAGAAUACCCUAUUAUACUUUUACGUUAACCUUAUACAAGAACAUUUCAGGAAAGAUUAAAAAAGAGAGAAGGAACUCGGCAAAUUUUAGCCCCGCCUGUUUACCAAAAACAUCGCCUCUUGUCACAACAUAAGAGGUCCAGCCUGCCCAGUGACAAAGUUUAACGGCUACGGUACCCUGACCGUACGAAGGUAGCAUAAUCACUUGUUCCUUAAAUGGGGACUUGUAUCAACGGCACCACGAGGGCUGCACUGUCUCCUCUCUUCAAUCAGUGAAACUGAUCCCCCCGUGAAGAAGCGGGGAUAAAACUAUAAGACGAGAAGACCCCAUGGAGCUUUAAAUAAUGCAAUCACACUAUCAAAAUGUCCCCUUACUAAAAGUCCUGACUGCAAAUUUUAGGUUGGGGAGACCGCGGAGAACAACUAAACCUCCACGACAGACGGCCCAAGCCCUUAUCUAUGAACAACAUUUCUAAGAAUCAGUAAUCUGAUGUUAUUGACCCGAUAUUAUUCGACUAACGAACCAAGUUACCCUGGGGAUAACAGCGCAAUCCACUUUAAGAGCCCAUAUCGACAAGUGGGUUUACGACCUCGAUGUUGGAUCUGGGUAUCCUUGUGGUGCAGCAGCUAC
rnacentral:rRNA from 1 species